CCUACGGGUGGCAGCAGUGGGGAAUAUUGGACAAUGGGGGGAACCCUGAUCCAGCCAUGCCGCGUGUGUGAAGAAGGCCCUCGGGUUGUAAAGCACUUUCAGUGAGGAAGAACGCCUGGUGGUUAAUACCCAUCAGGAAAGACAUCACUCACAGAAGAAGCACCGGCUAACUCCGUGCCAGCAGCCGCGGUAAUACGGAGGGUGCGAGCGUUAAUCGGAAUUACUGGGCGUAAAGCGCGCGUAGGUGGCUUGAUAAGCCGGUUGUGAAAGCCCCGGGCUCAACCUGGGAACUGCAUCCGGAACUGUCAAGCUAGAGUGCAGGAGAGGAAGGUAGAAUUCCCGGUGUAGCGGUGAAAUGCGUAGAGAUCGGGAGGAAUACCAGUGGCGAAGGCGGCCUUCUGGACUGACACUGACACUGAGGUGCGAAAGCGUGGGUAGCAAACAGGAUUAGAUACCCCGGUAGUC
rnacentral:rRNA from 1 species